UUCCGGUCGUGGCAACCGGCAACAUCCCUGCCGGCGGCGGCUCUGCUGCCUGGGGCCGGGACUGAGCAGGACAGCGGUGUGGCACAGGACCUCUGCUUGACCCUGCUAGAGAGUGGGGUGCCUAAGAAAGAAACCUGCAAAUUUAAGCCCCUGAGUCUGUAGACCGACUCUUAAGCACAGCGGGAUCUAACCUGUGCUGGCUGAAAUGCCAGGCAACUCGAGUUCAUCUUCAUCAGCCCCGCCUCUUCGGAUGCUGGCUCCGCUGCUCGCAACUGGGGGGGAAGCGCUACAUGCAGGGAGUCUCUCUAGGAGCUGGGCGCCUUCCAGCUUCCAUCUCGUACAUUUUCACAACAAGCGGAAAGGCGAGUGUUAGUAACCGCACUUUCCCUGUAAGAACCGAGAAGGGAAGUGACUUGCCCCCGCAGAGCUGAGACAGGAAGGCAGGUUUUCCGAAUAUCACACGAAGCUGGGCAGGGCCUCCUGUUACUGCUUAGGAACCAAGGUGAUCUUAGCUUAGCUGAUAGCUCAGCUGUGACCUCUUCCCGUGUCUGUCACUCCUGCAUCCUCCUCCUUGUUUUUGCUUUUCUAUUUUCUCCAGGGGCCUGAGCCGUGGGAAGCUUUCUUUCAGCAUGGUCCCCCACUUAGAGGUGACUGUCACCCUCCCACUAAAUGGCGAGGAAAUAAAUCCUUGGCAUGCAGCCCCUGAAAGGGAGGUCUUUACAACACGGAUUUUCCAAGGCAAUCGGAUGCCUCUGCAGUCUAAUCUCAAAAGUAUUUUCUUACUGAAAAGAAAUCUGCGCUUUUGUCUGGCUCACCCCCAGAACGCAAUCCCAGAGUUUGUAAGUCAAAGCUACAUAUUGACUUGAUUGCAGAUUGCUGUCUCUGAUGCAAAAAGGUUGAUCUUUGUAAAGCUGGUCUUCGAAGAACCAGACUAGCCUGGAUUCGGUGCGUCGCAUAUGUUUUCUGCCUCAGCAGCUGAACCAGAGUCACUGCAGUAAACUGAGUUCAUCGGUUUGGCCAGAUCCUGGACUUGCGGGCACAGGGGAAGAAGAGCGGCCACCUCCCACAGCGGGACCGAGGGACCCGCGUGCCCACCUCCCCCUUUGGGUACCUGACUGGGGCCACCGCUUUGGGGUAAAUCAGUACAGAGAUCAGUGUGGGCCGUAAGGUGGAGAGGGUCCCUUGAUUCAAGGAGCAGAGAACCACGGAAGCCAAAGAGAGGGUUUCCCACCUGUGAGACCCUUGGGCCAGAAAGCCGGUCGGGGCUUGAGGCAGCUGCAGGGAUGGGCAGUUCUCUUUGCUCCCUUGUGUCUGUACCAUCCCAUGCUGUGCUUUCUCUUGCCUUUCUCAAGAUGUGUCUGCUCUAUUUUCCUGUCUUUAUUAACAGGCCGGUUCCUCAAUCCAGAUGCCAGAAAGAGCUAGUCCAGAAGCCUUUGCUUACGGACCUGGUGACAUGGCCUUUUUGGGUAGCGCUCUUGGCCAAAGGCAUCGUCACGAGCCAUUAGGCAGCUCAUGGAUAGGCUGCCUCAGGCCAGGUGCCCGCCUCCGUCCCCUCAGUGGUCACUGAUGCACAGACACCGCCUAAUGUGACUCUCCUGAUCCAGGGGGCUGUGGCCAGGGCAGUUCAUACCAGAAGCAAGCGUUAGGGAACUAGCUGUGAGACUUGUGUGUACCUUGAGUCCAGGGCCGUCACCCAGAACUCAGCUUGGCCAGCGGCCCCCAGAUUUCCUCAUCUGUAAAUAGGGGGAUGGUGACACCUGGUUCAUGGGGUCGUCGUGAGACUUAAACCGACUGAUGGACAAUAUUAUACUAGCGAUAUUAUUAUCAGAAAGGGAUAACCCCAAGCCAUUUUGACCCAUCUGGCUUCUCAGACAGCCUGGCCAUUCAUCUAAAGAGAAAAACAGCGGCAGAAAGCAAGUAACCAGUGCGGACAGCUCGGGGAUGGGCAGCUCCUGCUUUCCUGAGGGAGGAGGGGUCAGGGCAGCCAGGAGUCCUGUGCCCGGGGUCCCACAGGACUGCGGGUGCGUGGACUGUGAGUGUGGGACAGUGUGUGUGUGUGUGUGUGUGUGUGGAAUGAGUGGCAGAUAAGAGACGACCCCUCCUCUUCCUCUGUUCAGAGCCUCUCCUGUCCACCUUUUCACCACGGCCCUCUCUACCUUUCGUUUUCAUUUUCUUGGAGCACAGCUGAUUUACAGCGUCGUGGUAGAUUCACAUGCACAGCCACGGGAUUCAUGUGUGUAGGAAGAGGUAUGUUCUUUUUCAUAUUCUUUUCCCGCAGAGGUUGUUAUAAGCUAUUGAGUCGAGGUCCCCGGGCUACACAGCAUAUCCUCGUUGCUCAUCUAUUUCCUAUACUGUAGUGUGUGUGUGUGUGCAGCCCGACCUCUUAAUUUAACCUCUCGCCCCUUCCCCGCAGUGGGUAAGCGUUUUCUGUGUCUGUGGGUCUGUUUCUGUUCAUUUGUGUAUAUACGUGUUUUUAGAUUCCACAUAGGUGAUAGCACAUGGUCUUUGUCUUUCUCUCUACGUUUCUUUAAAGAGAAAGAGAAAAGUAGACAGGACAUUUAAAAAGCAAUGCAGAGUUGAGGGAGUUCCUAUCAUGGCUCAGUGGUUAACAAAUCCAACUAGGAACCAUGGGGUUGCGGGUUCCAUCCCUGGCCUGGAUCAGUAGGUUAAAGAUCUGGUGUUGCCGUGAGCUGUGGUGUAGGUCGCAGACGCGGCUCGGAUCCCGCGUUGCUGUGGCUCUGGCGAAGGCCGGCGGCUACGGCUCCGAUUCGACCCCCAGCCUGGAAACCUCCACAUGCCAUGGGUGCGGCCCUAGAAGAGAC
rnacentral:lncRNA from 1 species